AUGAGUAUGCUCAGGCUUCAGAAGAGGCUCACCUCUAGUGUCCUCCUCUGUGGCAAGGAGAAGAUCUGGUUGGACCCCAAUGAGAACAAUGAAAUUGCCACUACCAACUCCGUCAGCAGAUCUGAAGCUGAUCAAAGAUGGACUGAUCAUCCUUAAGUCUGUGACAGUCCAUUCUCAGGCUCGAUGUUGGAAAAACACCUUGGCCCACCAGAAGGGCAGGCACAUGAGUAUAGGUAAGCGAAAGGGUAGCCAAUGCCCGAAUGCCAGAGAAGGUCACUUGGAUGAGAACGAGGAUUCUGCACUGGCUGCUCAGAAGAUACCAUGAAUCUAAGAAGAUUGAUCACCACAUGUAUCAAAGCCUGUACCUGGAGGUGAAGGGGAAAGCGUUCAAAAACAAGCGCAUGGAACACAUCCACAGCCGAAGGCAGACAAGGCCGUCAAGAAGCUCCUGGCUGACCAGGCUGAGGCCUGUAGGUCUAAGAUCACGGAAGCACGCAAGUGCCUUGAAGAGCGCCUCCAGGCCAAGAAGGAGGAGAUCAUCAAGACUUUGUCCAAGGAGGAAGAGACUAAGAAAUAAAAGCUCCCCCUUUGUCUGUACAUACUGGCCUCUGUGAUUACACAGAUCAGCCAUUAAAAUAAAACAAGCCUAAAAAAAACCCACAAAACAGAAAUGCAGAUGAAAUUGGAGAGACAGAUGGACAUAUCUUCGUGAUGGGACCCUCAGUGGACUUGGUGACUCACCCAGGAGCCAGAGUGAAAUGAGAAAAGAGAAUGAAUUCCAGGUUUUGGCCCCAGCUAGCUGACAGAACAAUACCAUGAGAACAAAUGUAAGAAAUUUCAAAAGCAAAACUGGCUUUUGUAGAAGACUAAUGGUUUUAGAUAUUUUAUUUAGGUGACAUUAUUGGAAUGUCAGAUGGAAAUAUUUAGCAGCUAAUGUGAAAUGUACAUCUGAACAAUUAAUUUCAAAGAGGGGGAUCUAAAAGUUUUCUGUUGAGGUGAGAGCUGAGGUCAUGACAGUGAGUGAAUGAGUCACCAAGAAAGAGAGAUGAUAUUCCCAGGACUUAGGGUCAAUCCAUUGGUGCUAAUUACGGACCACGUGGCUCUGCGUAUGCCAUUUAAGGGCUCUAACCUUGUGUCCUCAAUUCUGUAAAGGGCUAACCGCAUCCAAAAUAUUAUUAUGGCAAGAUAUGGGUGAAAGUGAUUUGUAAAUCAAUAAGGACAAUGCAAAUUAAGGCUUUUGGUGAAGGAUGACAGCUGCCUGAGGAGUGAACACUGGGGUUAUGACCUUGCCUUUUCAUCUCAUCAGUACACACCCACUCAUGCUUUAGAUUUCAGC